GACGAACGCUGGCGGCGUGCCUAAUACAUGCAAGUCGAACGAACCGCGACUAAGUGCUUGCACUAAGUCAAGGUGAGUGGCGAACGGGUGAGUAACACGUGGGUAACCUACCUCAUAGUGGGGGAUAACAGUCGGAAACGACUGCUAAUACCGCAUAGGACAUAGGAUCACAUGAUCCAGUGAGGAAAGGUGGCGCAAGCUAUCGCUAAGAGAUGGACCCGCGGUGCAUUAGCUAGUUGGUAGGGUAAAGGCCUACCAAGGCGAUGAUGCAUAGCCGACCUGAGAGGGGGAUCGGCCACAUUAGGACUGAGACACGGCCCAAACUCCUACGGGAGGCAGCAGUAGGGAAUCUUCCGCAAUGGACGCAAGUCUGACGGAGCAACGCCGCGUGAGUGAAGAAGGUCUUCGGAUCGUAAAGCUCUGUUGUUAGAGAAGAACAGCGCAUAGAGUAACUGCUAUGCGUGUGACGGUAUCUAACCAGAAAGCCACGGCUAACUACGUG
rnacentral:rRNA from 1 species